GAACAACGCAGAUUCGAAAUAUACGAUUGGUGGACAUGCAACAACUUACGGUGAUUAUGGAGUUCGUGGUUCCUAUGAAAGAAAACUUGGUCGUGGACGCUUUGGAUUAAGCGGAGGAUACAGCAGAUAUGGUGGAUCCCGCAUUGGUGCAAGAUACAGCUUCCCAUUUUAAAUUAUACGAAGACGAAGAUGACGAUGAAUGGACGAACAGAUCAGCAUUUCAUCCAUUUAAUGAAAUUUAUCUACCUAUACCCAUAAACAUUCAUUAGACACAUAAAUAUAUUCUCAUUAAAUUGCUAACUUCCAUGUAGCUUCACAUUAUUCAGAUUCAUUUCUUUCAUAUAGAUUGGCAUCAAUAAACUCUUACUCCUG